GGUUAAGAAAUUAAGCGUAUAUGGUGGAUGCCUUGGCAAACAGAGGCUAUGAAGGACGUGCUAAUCUGCGAAAAGUAUCGAUGAGUUGAUAAGAAACGUUAUUAAUCGGUAAUAUCCGAAUGGGGUAACCUAAAUAUAAUUAAAAUUAUAUUUAUUAUUAAAUAAAUAAAAUAGUUUAAUAAAGCAAACCAGAAGAACUGAAACAUCUUAGUAUUCUGAGGAAAAGAAAUCAAAAAGAGAUUCCCUUAGUAGUGGCGAGCGAAAAGGGAAAAGCCAAAUAAGCUAUACAAUAUAUAUUUAUUAUAAUAAUAAUUUUGGAAAAUUUAGCUAUAAAAGGUGAUAGCCCUGUGUUUUAAAAUUUAUAUAUAUUGGCUUAUUUUAAGUAAAUCGAGAAAUGUUAUCUUGAUUGAAUAUGGGGGAACCAUCCUCUAAGGCUAAAUACUACUGUUUGACCGAUAGUGAACUAGUACCGUGAGGGAAAGGUGAAAAGAACCCCGGUUAGGGGAGUGAAAUAGAUCCUGAAACCGUAUACGUACAAGCAGUAGGAGCAUUAUAUUUUUUUAUGUGACUGCGUACCUUUUGCAUAAUGGGUCAGCGACUUAUAUUCUGUAGCAAGGUUAACUUUUAAAAUAGGGAGCCGUAGGGAAACCGAGUCUUAAAUGGGCAUUAGUUUCAGGAUAUAGACCCGAAACCUGGUGAUCUAACUAUGAGCAGGUUGAAGAAUAAGUAAAUAUAUUUGGAGGACCGAACCGACUAAUGUUGAAAAAUUAGCGGAUGACUUGUGGUUAGGGGUGAAAGGCCAAUCAAACCAGGAGAUAGCUGGUUCUCCUCGAAAGCUAUUUAGGUAGCGUCUUAUAAUUAGUUUAUAGGGGUAGAGCUCUGUUUUGUACUAGGGACUUAUGUUACCAGUUCAAUGCAAACUACGAAUACUAUAAAUUUUAUUAUUGGAAACACACUAUGGGCGAUAAUGUCAAUAGUGGAAAGGGAAACAACCCAGAUCGUAAGUUAAGGUCCUUAAGUUAUGAUUAAGUGUAAAACGAAGUUAGAAGUCUUAGACAACUAGGAUGUUGGCUUAGAAGCAGCCAUCAUUUAAAGAAAGCGUAAUAGCUCACUAGUCGAGUCAUCUUGCGCGGAAGAUUUAACGGGGCUAAAAUCAUACACCGAAACUACGACAAUUUAUUUUUAAUAAAUUGGGUAGAGGAGCGUUCUGUAAGUCUGUGAAGAUUUAUCGUAAGGUGAAUUGGAGAUAUCAGAAGUGCGAAUGCUGACAUAAGUAACGAUAAAACAAGUGAAAAACUUGUUCGCCGAAAGACUAAGGUUUCCUAUCCAACGUUAAUCGGGAUAGGGUUAGUCGAUCCUAAGGUGAGGUUGAAAUACGUAAUCGAUGGAUAACAGGUUAAUAUUCCUGUACUUAUUAAAAUUUGUGAUGGAGUGACUGAGAAGGCUAUGUUAGCUAAGUGAAGGUUAUCUUAGUUUAAAUAUUUAGAUGUAAGAAAUAAGUAAAUCUUUUUCUUUUUAACAUUGAUAUAUGAUGAUGAGUUAAUAAAAUAACGAAAUAAUUUAUGCCACGCUUACAAGAAAAGCUUCUAAACUUUAAAUUUUAAUAAAUCGUACCUUAAACCGACACAGGUAGUCAGGUAGAGAAUACUAAGGCGCUUGAGAGAACUCGGGUGAAGGAACUAGGCAAAAUGAUGUCGUAACUUAGGGAGAAGACAUACUAAUAUGUAAGUUAUUUUAUAUAGCUGAAAUUAGUCUAAGAUAACGGCUGGCUGCAACUGUUUAUUAAAAACACAGCACUGUGCUAACAUGAAAAUGGAUGUAUACAGUGUGACGCCUGCCCGGUGCCGGAAGGUUAAUUAAUUAAGUUAUUUAAUUAUAUUGUAAAGUAUAUUUAAAGAAGCUUUUGAUAGAAGCCCCGGUAAACGGCGGCCGUAACUAUAACGGUCCUAAGGUAGCGAAAUUCCUUGUCGGGUAAGUUCCGACCUGCACGAAUGGCGUAAUGAUGGCCAGACUGUCUCCACCCGAGACUCAGUGAAAUUGAAAUCGCUGUGAAGAUGCAGUGUACCCGCGGCAAGACGGAAAGACCCCGUGAACCUUUACUAUAACUUGAUAUUGUAUAUUUGAUAUUAAUGUAUAGAAUAAGUGGGAGACUAAGAAAUAUUGACGCUAGUUAAUAUAGAGUCGUAAUAUGAAAUACCACUCUUUAAUAUUUGAUAUACUAACUUUAAUCCGUUAUCCGGAUUGAGGACAGUGUCUGGCGGGUAGUUUGACUGGGGCGGUCUCCUCCUAAAGAGUAACGGAGGAGUACAAAGGUUAGCUAAUCACGGUCAGAUAUCGUGAGGUUAGUGCAAAGGCAUAAGCUAGCUUAACUGCGAGAACUACAAUUCGAGCAGAUGCGAAAGCAGGUCUUAGUGAUCCGAUAGAUCCUAUAUGGUAGAGGCUAUCGCUUAACGGAUAAAAGGUACUCCGGGGAUAACAGGCUAAUAUCGCCCAAGAGUUCACAUCGACGGCGGUGUUUGGCACCUCGAUGUCGGCUCAUCACAUCCUGGGGCUGAAGCAGGUCCCAAGGGUAUGGCUGUUCGCCAUUUAAAGUGGUACGCGAGCUGGGUUUAGAACGUCGUGAGACAGUUCGGUCCCUAUCUGCCGUGGGCGUUGGAAGAUUGAAAGGAGCUACUCCUAGUACGAGAGGACCGGAGUGGACAUACCUAUGGUGUUCGGGUUGUCAUGCCAAUGGCAUUGCCCGGUAGCUACGUAUGGAAAAGAUAACUGCUGAAAGCAUAUAAGCGGGAAGCUUACCUUAAGAUUAAUCUUCCCAGUAAUAAUUUUAAUUAUUACCUAAAGGGACGUUAUAUACUAUGACGUUGAUAGGUUAGGUGUGUAAGCAUUGUGAAAUGUUGAGCUGACUAAUACUAAUAUCCCGUGAGACUUAACUCU
rnacentral:rRNA from 1 species